ensembl:lncRNA
AAAUUCUGGUUUAUUUUUACAAACAGCCCAUGCAAUUCUGAUAUUAAAUCUCAAAUGAAUAAAAGUAUCAGACGACCUGAUAUACACCCACACCUGCACUGACAUACCACGUAGAAAAGAGACUAAUAAAUCCAAGACUGAGUUUUAAUAGAAGACCCUAUGUUUGACAAGUUUGUCCCAACCCCUUUUCAACAGGGCACAUGGCGCCAACACGCCAGACUGGUUAUAAGAAUAGCAGAGGGGUUAGCUGGUUUCCUGGCCCAAAAAAGUGACAAAGUACUGUUAGAAUGAGCGGAUCGCCUUAUUAGAACAAACACACAGUCUUAAGAAGCAGUAUGUGGUUAUCUCUGUGGUGUGGUCCUUAUAUAGUUAGUUAAAUUCAACAUCCUCACAAAUGCUGUUGGGUUAGAUCCGCAGUUUUUUAUGGUAAACACUAGUUAGAUCCCCAGAUGGGAUCUAUGUAUAGUAACAAUUUCUGUCUCCCCUCAGUUGAAUAGGGUAAGAAAACGGUGAGAGGGACUUUGUUAGCUGAAAAGAGUAAAAUGCAGACUUACAAUUCUAUGAUAAAAUUAAGCAUUUGUGAGGAAUCUAUUUCGGUGAUCCAUCAUUAUUGGUUGUUUGUAUUAGAAGUAUAAAGCAGGUCAAGGAGCAAGCUAGCAUUAAUCAUUUAGCAUUAAUCCCACUACUGUCAUAUCGCUUUCACCAGUGCUGAGAGUCUAUAAAAAAUAACAAAAAUAAAACCUCUCCACCAAUUCAUUUCUUUUUUUUAUGACCCAGCCUUGUUCAGUAGAGCCUCUGUUUUGAACUCUGUUUUCUUGUUUUUAGACAGUGUAUUUUAUUUACACAUUUAGAUUUCAAUGUAGGCCCUAACAAUAAACACUAAGACUAGUAUCAGGAAGAGAGAGGAACCGUUUAAUUUUUCAUUAUGAAGUACAUUUUGUUUCUGUCUUAGUACACUGUUGGAGGAAAUGUUGCCUUAGAGGUUGCUAAUAUGAAUAGAUUGUUCUUAUUAUUAUUAUUAUUAAGGGAAGACAAAUACAUGAGUCUUAAUUAGAAUCAGUGUUAGCCUGUUUAGCAUUUUUAUUCCUAGUUCUUAAUUCCUAGUUGUUACAAACUGGGCCAUGUUAUUCUCUCUUUAAAAAAAAAAAGGGAGGAAUACAUGCAAUUAAGAAAUUACAGAUACAAGAAUGGAGUUAGUUAAAUACACACCUCCCUAGUUAAGAUUCCAACUUUGUGUUGUGCGAGAUUCCAUCUUUGUUUCCCACAAAGUAGGAGUCCUGAUUCCUGAAUCACUGAUAGACCUGAUACACCUUGUCCAAUGGCACCUGUGACCCAGAUCAUUUUAGGGCAAAACCAAGCCCAGAUCUAUGAGGCAGCCAGGACACUGACGGUUCCUGCUUCACCAAAACCAAGGAGAGGUGGGGGACAGACUCAUGUACAACAGACAGUCCAAGGCUGGACCAUUACUGGCAACCACCACAGCCAGAGGAGCUGAGCUCUAUGAAGGAGAGGACGGUGUGGCAGACCUCUAGCCCAAUGCAUGGAGACGAAUUGAGAACAAUCAUGUGAAGUGAAACCUCCUGCAACUUUUCCCUUUGGCACCUUUUGAGUUCCAGAAACAGAUUUCUGGCAUAACGGACAUUUGUUCUGGAAAGGCGGAAGGCCUGACCACCUUGGUAUAUCUGGAAAAUAUCUCCAGUCCUACGGUGAGACAGAACAACUCUACUUGAAAUUGAACCUUGAGCCUUCUGAGACUGUGUGUACAACAUCAAGACUGCGGCAAAGAGGCCUUUUGGGUCAAUAUCAAUAGACGAG